UUAAAGGUGUGCGCCACCCACUGGGCUCCAUCACUCAUUUUUAUAAAAAUCCAAAUAAGCAAAAGCAGGGAAGAAAGACCUGUGGUUGACUCUAGAGAGGGCUCAUCGUGGCAUGGUGACGGGGACAUCUAACCUGUCUCAGUACAGGGCUGCCAGGGGGCGGGGGCGGCUACAGCUCUACCCUCACCUGAAGCCUUGGGCUCUCUCGGGCUCUGUGUCAUUUGGAGAAGAGGGAAGAUGCAUUCCAGGAGGCUAGGGACAGACCAACCGAUGACAGGCUCUGAGAAAAAGCCUGCAGCCCAACAGAAAACCGGACAGGACAUGGCACAGGAGCCCAUGAUGUGGGCUCUGACCCAAGGUUCUGAGUUCAGGUAGCUCCUGGAGACACUACUGUGAAGUCAUCAGGAAGCAAAGGGACCUGGAAAGGCUGGCCAUAUGGGAAGCUCUGGAUCCUAGGGAAGGAUCCUCAGUGUGCAUAUGCUCCCAGUGACUUCUACUUAGAGAUCCAUCCUCUCAGCCAUAAGGUAGCUCUGUAAGGCAGUCUACAGAAAUGCUUCCUUUGUGGUUGGAGGGAGCUCCGCAGGGCUGCCAGUGGCUAAGAGGUGGUGCUGUCUAUGGUGUUGACUAAGUAAAGCAGCUGGAUGGACCAGGCACCCACAUUCAACCUGUGAGAAGAAGUCCCUCUUACGGAGAUCUGGCCAGCUAUGAUCCCUGAAUCACCCAACCAUAAGACACAAUAUCAUUCCACAAACACACAAGGCUUCUAGAUCUGGGAGGCUUCUCCAGGGCCAUAGCAAAUGGGGCCUCUCCUGUCUCCAUGGGCUGUUCCCAUGGCCCCCAGCAGUUUCUAAGCAUCGUGAAGUCUUCCAGGACCCCGUAGUAUGACUCAAAGGUUAUGGAGGAACCUCCAGGGCCCCCACACUGCUUAGCAGAAGUUAAUUCCCUGCCUGCUGCCUUGGACUGGAUCGGAAUUAGCAAGACUGUAACGUGAGAAGAGCAGGGCACCCCACCCUCACUCCACACUGUACCUUCCCUAGAAGAGCUGCAAGUCAAAAGUAGCAAGAGGCCUCAAGAGACACCAACCCACAAGGCCGACUUCAGGCAUAACACUGCCCCAGGAGCCAUGGCCCCAAAUGAGCCACAUCUGGGAGGGUCACAUCCAGGCUGAGCAUUCAUGCUUAUGAUGGCAGAUCCUUGAGCAGGGGAAGGGGAGAUGCUGGUACAACAAGCGAUAAAUGUCACUAAGACCCAAGCUGUCUGCACCAUCCGCCUCUGUCUUCCAAGGACAGCAGACGGCUCAUGUCAGCAGGAAAGUGAGCUGCUGAAGUGCCCCUGGCCCCAUGGGACUAAGAAGGACAUAAGGAGGACACUGCUGUGCAAAGCAGCUGGCACCACUGGGGGUAGGGGGAGAUGCCCCAUUCUAAGAGGCCAGGAGGGGACCCCACACCCAGAGGACAACCAGUCUCCUUCACUGACAUGGUGAGACAUGCUUCUCUCCACCCAGAGACAGUAGGAAAGACAUCCACUCAAUGCCACAUAGCCGGUCGGUCACCCUCACUGUGACAAAGACGAACAUCAGUCCAGAUGCUCCUCACUGCCACCCAGUGGUGUCACAUGCAUUGUCCCACACGGGCAGCACACCAAAAGCCACCACCAUCCUAUGGGGCCACCCCUUUCACAGCCUGAGCCAAUGCCACAUGCAUGAGUGCACUCAUGAAAAGAGGACUGUACCUAUAAUUUUGAAAAUGUUUUAGUGCAUGCAGCUUUUAAAACAUUUUGGCAGGAAAAUUACAGCUUCAACGCGCAAGAGAAAAUGGGCCCAUUAGCCUCAGAAGAUGAGAAAGGCAGGACUCAGGGCAGAGCCCUGGGGGCCUGGAACAAGGUCUCUCCUGAAUCAAAAUGGGGAUGGAGCUAAGACACCUCCCCAACCCAAACCGACAGUGUUCCCCCAGCACCCUGAGCCCCAUCUCCUAAGACAGACCACCUCCCAUUGCUGGCUGGCUCACUCCUCUGCAGCUGUACCCCCAGGCUAGAGAGAAGCCCUGGUGGGAGGCAAAGCCCACUCCCCACAGAAGUCUAGAGAAGCUAGGGUCCUGGGAGAUAGUAGCUGGGAACAUCACCCAGGGGCAGGACAUCCUGCCACCAUGGUCCUGCAUCCUAACCUUCUGGCUGAUCUUCAUGCAGCGUGCCUGGCCCCAAGCUCAGCCUACCUCAACCAUCUGCUAGACACUCUAUGAUGCCCAUGACAGUUCCUGAGAGGACAUUUCCAGAGCCACCAACAUCCCCAAGAACAGACAAGACUGUGACUUCUUGUAUGGGACAGUUCCCUACUACCCCAUCACAAAUAUAAGCUGUUACAGGAAGCAAAGAGGCCUCCUAGUCUCUGAAUGCCCUGGUUCUGCCAAGGAGUUGGACACAGAGCCCUUUGCCAUUUCCUGGUCCCCCUCAUCUACCAGACUGAAAGAGCAAGGACCACUGUCCAUCAAAUAC